UGAGCCCGCGAGCAGCAGGAGCGUGGGGCGGCCGGGCGCGAGCCCACCAGGACGAGGAGAGGCAGGGAAGUGCCCGAGUGUGCGUGCGUGCAGGGGGGCUGUGGGGCGGGUGCGAGUGCGCGCGUGCUCGCGGACCGGCGUGGAGAGCAAAGCAGGGACGGACCAUCACCGGAACCCUCUCCGCCGCUCCGAAGACUCACCGGCACGCACCGACCCACGCGGAACCUGAGCCCUCAGCUUAGUGUCCCCAGCCCUAGUCUAGUCACUUCCCCGGCGGCCUGAGUUGGCACCCACAUCUUCAUGGCCCCCCCAACUCCCGCCCUCUAUCACUCACUGUCGCCUUGAACCCAAAGUGCAGCAGGCGGUCCCUGCUCGGAGCCAUUUUCCUCCUUUUUCUAGACGCCUCUGGGUUGGGGUAGUGCUGCUGCCGCCGCCGCCGCGGGUGCUCCUGCCGCCGCCUCCCCCGCCCCGGUGAAUUGCAUUCCGGGGUGCUGCGGGGAGGCCUGGGGGGCCGCUGCGGGGCGGCUGUCUCUCAGUGCCUGGCUGCCCAAGGCAUGAGCUGGUGGCGCUAAGAGGCGGACCUAGCGCCCAGCUCUGCCCAGGGACUGGUAGCGAGGCUUUACCUCGGGGUCAGGGGGUGCAACGCCCCAGCACUGCACCCAUUCCUUGGGCCGGGGGAGGGGCGCACACCGGUGGGGAGGGGGCAGGCUAGGCACUAGGGCCUGUGGCAUCCCCGCCCCUCCGGCCGGUGGCGCCCAAUGGGCUGUAGUGGCUGCUUGCCCUCCAAUCAGGGCGCUGGUUGGUGAGAGCCUCAACCUGACGCCAUUUCGGCGGGAGAAACAAGCAUGUAGGAGCGAGUAGGCGGCGGCGUCUGCCCACAGGAAACUAGGAUUUUCAUUGGACUAGGCUCCUAAUAUAGAAGCUUGUCCGUGUCAUCCUAUUAUUAAUGUAAACUCCAGCCUUCAAGAUUCCUAAACCUAUGACCUAUUGUCCAUGAAUUAGGAAACAAUCUAGAGUGAGUUGCCCCUUCAAAGAGAAACAAAUUACACAAUGUACCAAUCCUGAAGUAUUAAAAACCAUCAUAAAUUGCGCCCGUGCUCGAUGAGGUCACAAUACUGCUUUUAAUUGUAUACUCAAAGCAGUUAUGAGUUUAUCUCAUACUAUUUUUCUAAUUAGAAUCAGAUCAAGAUGAAAAUUUACAAGUGACAAAUGCUGUGAACCUUUAAAAAAAACUUUUUAGCUUGCUUACCUUAAAGCACUUUUUUUUUUUUUAAAGCACUUUUUUUUUUUUGAAACAGGGUUUAUGUAGUUGCUCCAGUUUUUCUGGAAUUCGAUAGAUCCACAUGCCUCUGACUCCCCAGUUCAGGCAUUUAAAGUGUGUAUCACCACGCCUGGCCAAACUUUCUUUUUUCCCCUAAAGAGGACUUCCUAAACAAACUCGCUUCAAAAAAUUCAGUUCUUGGGCCCACAAAAACCUAGGUCCACGUUAUAUUGUCUUUGAAUCCUACAUACUUUUAAAGCAUUUCCUUUUCUUCAGCCAAUGGAAAAAAAAGAGCAAAAUUUAGAAGCAUCCCAGCAAUAAUUACUGGUGAAUUUAUAACAACUGCAAUUCAGGAAAAAGUGAGAAAAACUGACACAUAGAUGAAUCAAAUAUAGGAAAAGAAAAAUAAAACCCUGUCUCUUAGGUCUACCAACUGUGCAUUCCUUUGGCCCAUUUAGAACACUGGUUUUUAAUUAAUUUGGAUUUUUUAAGAUGCUUACCAAAUGAAAAUAUUCAAACGGUAAGAUUUUUAUAGUGAUGAUUCAUCCCUGUAAUCCCACUACUCAGGAGGCCAAGGCAGUAAGGACUACUAGUUCUAAAUCAUACUAUGCUACAUAGCAAGUUCUUGGUCGACACUGUCUCAAAGAGACAAAUCUCAGAACAACAAAAGGCCAUCUCCCCAUCUCUUGGAAAGUGAGGGAAGGAGGAUAGAGUUCAAGGUCUGCCUAGGCUACAUAAAACCUAGUCUCAGAAAACAACAGAGGUCAGCCUGGUCUACAUAGUGACCCAUUUUAAAAAACAAAUAAAUAAAACCUCCAGAGACCUAUUAUUUUUAUCAAACAAAUUUAUUUGUAUGUAAAGCAACAGUUUUUUGUGAUGUUUUAGAGGGGGGAAAUCCCAGAAUCUGUUCACUUUCAAAAAAUGAAAAACAAAACAAAAUAUUUACAGAACAGCCAUACAUACAGAAAUCAAAUCAGAACUAAAGACCCUUCCCACUGCUCCUGAUGGACAUUUCUAAACUCAGAAUUUAAAGCUCUGCUCUAUCACUGAGCUUGUUUCCCAGCCUAGUUUCUAAGAUAACACUUCCUGCCCUCCAAAAGUUAACUCAAGACAAAUAAUAAUUGGGGGCAGGGCUGAAGAGGAAAAUAAAAUACAAAAUGAGAUUACCCAGGGAUUGUGAAUGUUUCCUACACUGACAUCUGCUGUGACUCAACUUUGGAUACUAUGUGACUCACCGGCUCCUCUGAAAAUUCAUGAUAUUGCUGUUCUAGAUUUUCAGACCUUGGCCUGACAAAAGGAAAAUCCCAUUCAAGAGUUAUUAACCUCAAGCUGGCUUUGGCAAUUAUGUAAGGUCCCCUUCCUCAUUUUGGAAACACUUCAAGAUACACUGAAUUUGAAUCUGAAAAAUUCUUGUACAUCAGAGCAGACUUUGUCCAAAGAUUCUUAACAUGAAGCCAGAAGACAGAAGAAUCAGGUCAAAUUAAAAAAUACAAGAAGUCCAGCAGCAGCAAACAGAAGCUAAGAGGAGAGGAUUCAGAACCAGGUGACGGACUUCUGAGAAAUCCAACCUGGUUGUAUAUCUGAGAUACUGCCACUGCACCAGCACCACAAGAUAAAGCACUCCAGUGUCACCUUGCCCGUGUCCUUGUUAGUGUCACUCAAGACAAUGAACUCUGAUAGGGUAACAGUGGCCGGACCCCAUCGUCGGAGCCCGGACUGUUCUGGUAGGACUUCUCCGCUAUGGAGGAGCCCGACUCGCUCUCACUGUCCACACCCUGGGGUGUGUACGCUGGCGACCUACUGUGGCUGGGAGAACCACGCUCGUGCUUUGGAGUGGACCCACUGAUCAAUGGAGAACCAUAGUUUUUUGAAGAGGCUAUCUGUGGCCUCAGCCCUUCUCCACUACUUUCUCCUGGUUUCUGUAGAGUCACUUUGGCUUUAAUGCUAGGGGAGCCUCCAUCAUGUUUGCUGAUGAUAAUUUUUGCCACACCCGUGCUCCCCACAUUUUUUGACUCUGAGGUCUUCUUAGAAGAAUCCACUGAGCCUCCAGAAGUAGAAACCUUUGAUUUGUCUUUAUCGCUUUUUUCACGUUUGCUCUGGAAUUCCCCUCCUGCCAUGUUAUGUUUAGAGGACAUGGGAUGGUUAGAAUUUGUGCUUACUCCCAUCUGACUCUCCAUUGGAUCCUCACCCCCAGGCCCACUGGUGACAACCCCAUGCUUCAGCUUAUCUAUAACAGCUGUCAAGGAAGGCUUCUUAUUCCUACUGGGAGAUUUUCCUUUGGAACUCCCAUGCUGAUUCUGAGAGGAUGACAUGGAAGAACCACUUGAGGAAAACGAGGAGGAAGAUGGUGUACAAGAAUUAGAUGCUGGGGGAGUUUUCUGAGACACUGAGCCUGAGGAUCCUGACCCCGAAGAUGACUUCGUGCCAGAACUUGAACUAGUUCCUGACAUAUGAGAACCACCAGAACCUGAACUGAUAGGGGACUUGGCUUUAGAGGAUGGGGGAGUCCCAGGAACAGGCUUCAUUGGAGAGGCAAGCUUAUCUGAUCCUCCAGGAGGCCUUGAAUGAGAAGGGGAUAUGUUUGGUUUACUUAUAGAAGGAUUCAUAAGUGAUGAUGGCUUGCCUUGAGGUUUCAUCUUGGUACUGCUAGACCCACUGCUCAGACCAUGUUUGGUAAUGGGAGACGAGCCUGGCUUUCCCCCAGUCUGAGAUGAAUUUUUUGACUGGCUGGAUCCAGAGGACCCCUGGCUAGAAUACAUACUGCCACUUAGCUUGGAACUUGAUGAGCCUUCCGACUUACUGCUUUUCAUCUUGCCUGAGGUGGAAGCAGAAGACGAGGAAGAGGAGGAGGAAGAAUGACUAUGGUGGCUUUUACUGCCAGAGGAAGACACAGAACCACUGCUGGUGUACUGACUGUGAGAGGAAGGCUUGCCCACCAUCACUGUCCCCUUAGGAAUCUGAAUAGUGAUUUUGGGGAUGGGUGGGGUAGCAACACCUGGGGGAGUCUGAGACCUUCCUGAACUGCCUGGAGAUUUGGAUCCACCUGUACUAGUGGGUGGGGUAAAAGGUCUAUUAGAAGAACUGUGAGAUGGAGACUUGCCCUCAGUGUCUGCUUUCUUCCGCUUUGGAGGCUUAUCUUUGCUCUUUCCAUCAUUGGAAGGAGUUCGGCUGCGCUUGCCUGGUUUGCUGUCUAACCCAGGGCCCGAUACACUGCCAGCACCAGUGCCAUUACCUUCCUUUACCCUCUUUUGAGGUUUUUCUUUCCCUAAUUCUCCUGUGGUCAUUAAAGGACUCUGACUACCACUGUGGUGUUCCAUAAGAUCUGCAGAACCCAAAGCCUUACCAGCUACUGAUAUAAUACUGAAGUCAACUGUGUCAGCUUGGCUACUGCUCUUAAAUUUUGUCUCCCCAUUAUCACCCCCAAGUAUUGGCAUCCCCAAAGUAUUUAGUGCCUGAGAUGCAAAUCCUUUGAAAUCAUCAUUAUCCCCACUCUGACUACUUUCAUCAAAAUAUUCUUCUCCAAAACCACUUUGGCUUUGGCUGUUCAACAAAUCAGGAUUGAAAUCUACUCCAUCAGGGAAAAAAUGAUUGGUAGGAGA